AGUCUUGUCACGUGAUGAAGCUCUUUAAAAAAGAGAGGCGUUUGCUCUCGACCGACCAACUCAACUCCAAUUGAGAGAGUUCAAAAAUAAUUUUUGCAUCUUGCAAGUUACUCCCCUUAUCUAAGUUGGACUUGAAACAGAGCGUGCCUUGUAUGAUAUAUACGGGUGAGCUAAAAAAGGUAUCACUGGUUGCAGCAAAAUUUGGAGAUUGUUAUAGGAAGAUUCAGGCUUUACUAGGGAAUGGGUGGCUUCAGAAAAAGAAAUAACAGGUUCAAAAACGGCACUUCGUACAUUAUAUGGAACAAGAGCUUGCUAAAUACAACUUUCGAUACUUGCUUAAGAAGGAUGAAAUUGCAAGAUCCCAUAGGAUUUGAUGGACUUAUGAGAAAUUUCAAAGAUUUGAGGGACUAAUAUGAAGCUAUUGAAGAUUUGAGGGACUAAUAUCUAAAUAAACCAAAAAUAUAAUAUCCUUUUGAUGUUAAUUUUUUGUAUAUUUACAAUUUUGUACAUAACGAAAGAGGUAUCCAAACUGGUGUUGCCACUGCUUUUAAGGGGGAUAAAUUUUAUGUGACAAAUUUUCUGGUAAUAUUUUAUAGUGCUUAAAUAGUUGUAUUUAUCUUGCAAUAGUGGAAACUCUAAUUUUGUUUCUUCCUCCUUAUCUCCAUAGUUGAACUUAGAGCACUUAUAGAGAGAUAUACUGAUUUUGGACGCCGCUACAGCAGAAUAUUCUCUUAAACCUUGUGUUUCACUUGUCACAAAAUUUGAGCUUAAGGGUCAAAGAGAAAAGGUGUUUAUAGCUAACACUCACAUGUCUGCGAAAUCUGAGCUCUCCAGGAUAAUGUAGGUAUGUAUUAACAUAUAAAUACCACUUCAUCGGGUUGAAUUUUCAAAAGCAAAAAACACAUAAUGUGCUGAAUUUUCACUUACUAUGAGUUAAAGCUGCUAACUUUAGAUUUAACUAAUAGUAAGUGAAAAUUCAGCACAUUGUGUGUUUUUUGCUUUUGAAAAUUCAACUCGAUGAAGUGAUAUUUAUACGUUAAUACAUACCUACAUUAUCCUGGAGAGCUCAGAUUUCGCAGACAGGUGAGUUUUAGCUAUAAACACCUUUUCUCUUUGACCAUUAAGCUCAAAUUUUGUGACAAGUGAAACACAAGGUUUAAGAGAAUAUUCUGCUGUAGCGGCGUCUAAAAUCAGUAUAUCUCUCGGUAAGCGCUCUAAGUUCAACUAUGGAGAUAAGGAGGAAGAAAUAAAAUUAGAGGCUCCACUAUUGCAAGAUAAAUGCAAAUAUUUAAGCACUAUAAAAUAUUAUCAAAAAUUUAUCAUAUAAAAUUUAUCCACCUUAAAAGCAGUGACAACACUAGUUUGGAUACCUCUUUCGUUAUGUACAAAAUUGUAAAUAAACAAAAAAUUAACAUCAAAAGGAUAUAACAUUUUUGGGUUAUUUAGAUAUUAGUCCCACACAUACGGCCACAUCCACACACGGCCAGGCUACAGGCUAUAAAUAGGAACAAUAAUUUGUUCCUAGGGUUUAGUGCAAGGCAGGGGACAAUCAUAGAAGGUUUUGCGGCUGGGCUUGGUGAAAACACAGAGGAUAGUUGCUGUUUUGAAGAGGAGUUUUGUGCAGCUGUUUUUAGAGUUUGAGCAUCCUUUUGAGGGAGAUAUUUGUGUGAGAUUUGAGAGCUUGUUUGAGGGUUUAAUUUGUAUGAUUGUAAACCUUAUUUGUAUUCUCUCUCUCUAAUAGUAGAUCUCCCCCCUCCUUGUCCCAUGGACGUAGGCAUCUUGCCGAACCACGUAAAA